CUCUGGGGAGAAGGGGAGGGAGUGGAGAUUGAGUUCAAUCAUUAAUGGCCAAGGAUUUAAUCAAUCAUGUCAAUGUAAUGAAGCUUUCACAAAACCUUGAAAGGACGGGGUUCUGGUUUGGUGAACACAUGGAGAUUUGGAGAGAGUGAAGUGCUCAGAGAAGGCAUGGAAGCUCAUCACCCUUCCCACAUACCUGGCCCCAUCCUCUCUUCCAUCUGGCUCUUCCUCAGAUAUAUCCUUUUAUAAUAAACUGAGGGACCCUCUGGCUUUGCGUUGGGACCAGGAAUAAGUUGGCCACAAUCAACUCCCCUGAAGAAGUGGUUUCCCCACCACAUAACUCUUCCUUCUGAGGACAAUGGCUUUGCUCAGUGUGGUAAAGGGGAAGUUUAACCAAA